UUGCAUCAGGGGUAGCAACGACAUCCUUUUUCUGUGAAUUCAAACAAAUUCAUAGAAAAAGAUAUAGUGAAUAACCCGCCCGGAU
rnacentral:sRNA from 1 species